CUGACAUUUCCGGCCAAGUCGCACGGAAGCUCACAUUAUAAAACAUUAUUUUAAGCUUACCGUUGUCAAUCGAAGUAAGUCUAAGCUGGUGCUCAGCUGGUUUGGUGUAAAAACCAGGUGACCAAAAACCCUUCCGAAACCAGCCAUCAAACAACCUGACCAAGUAGGGAGACCAGCAAACCAGCUAAGUGUGAUCUAUGCUGUUUUUCAGUGUGAAAUGACCUAUGGUCUCUCCUGCAGCUCUCUGGUUUGGAAGCCGAGAGACAGACCACAUGUGUGCUGGGAAAGUGAGUGAAAGAGACGAGAAUGAGAAGUAGGCGAGAAGGGGUCAGUUCUGCUAGAACAAUUAUCUUGUUCUCAAAACCUACUAUUUAAUGGAAAUGUUUAAAACCGGCCAAACUACACGACAGCACCUUGGUAUGAGCUCUGGUACAGAUCUUCUCUCGCUCACAUCCUCUCACUUUCUCAUUUGAUUGGACACUUUAAUCAAAAGGUUGUUUUGUAAGAAGUGGCCAUUAGUUUUAGAUGUGCAACAAAAGAGAAACUCCAUUAAAAUUCCUUUCACGCAUUCCUUCUUUUUCUCUCUCGUUUUAUUCGGCCCAUUUUCCCUAUCUGUGGACCAACACUGAGGUCACCUUCAAGCUCACCCUAACAGUAGGAGCCUAUAGAGAUGAAUACAGCUGGGAAUUCUGUUGCCGACUUCAUAUUGAGUCUUUUACUUUGAUCCGUGAACCAUAAACAGAUGUUAUGUGUUGUAGUAGUGAUGUUAUUAUACAAGCCACACUGUAUAGUCGUGUGCUUUUUAAAGCUUUUCUGGGUCACUUUUGCAUUGAGAUUGAACUUUUUACAUUCAGG